rnacentral:rRNA from 1 species
CAGCAGCCACGGUAAUACAGAGGGUGCGAGCGUUAAUCGGAUUUACUGGGCGUAAAGCGUGCGUAGGCGGCUUCUUAAGUCGGAUGUGAAAUCCCUGAGCUUAACUUAGGAAUUGCAUUCGAUACUGGGAAGCUAGAGUAUGGGAGAGGAUGGUAGAAUUCCAGGUGUAGAGGUGAAAUGCGUAGAGAUCUGGAGGAAUACCGAUGGCGAAGGCAGCCAUCUGGCCUAAUACUGACGCUGAGGUACGAAAGCAUGGGGAGCAAACAGGAUUAGAUACCCCAGUAGUCCCUGUCUCUUAUAC